GGAGGACGAUGAACAGGACGAGGUUGUCGGUUGUUCAUUAAAAAACUGUGGUUUCUUUGGGGUCUGAAACUGAAAUUGCUGUCCCAAAUAGGCCCCUGAAGAAAAUGGUUGCUGGGUUUUGGCCAUUGUUGUUGUUGUUGUUGGGUUCAAGGUUUUGUUGAAGGGGCCUAUCAGGGGGGGUUUGGGCGUGGCUGGGAGGCUGCUUAUGGAUCCAUAGUCAAACAGGAUCUGAGAAAAGGGCUUCUGCUUUGCUAUUACAGACCACCUGCACUACAUCAAUGGAGUCAGAGACAGAGAUUGUGUGUUAUUCAUCUUCAAGUACUCAAUAACAUGCCCAUUAUCUUUGUGGACUGAACCUUCGAUUUCUCGACAACGACGCCAUCGUUUCCGGCGAGAGCUCUGUACUUGUCUUUUCUAGUGAAGUUAGUGCACUUAUACGAC